UGAACAUCAUCACUAAAUUGUACCGUCUUCUUCUCUGUUUUAACGUAUUCAACUUACACUAUUACAAAAUUUGAAUCUCACAAUAACCCACUGAAAAAGCCAAUGAAUCUUCCUUUAUUACAAAAGAAGAAGAAGCCUCAGAAAAGGUUGAAAUCCUAACCCCCAAAGCAAUGGUAUCAGAAGGUGGGGACUUUGGAAAGCGAUUAAGUCAUGAAUGAGAUUAGCGACCUUAUAAAAGAGACCCCAGAGGGCUCAUUUGCCCCUGCUGCCAUGGGAGGACACAGCAAAAUGACAGCCUUCUACAAACCAGAAAGUGGGCCUUCAACACACAGUCAAUCUGUCUGUGAGAAAUAAAUUCCUGUUGUUUAUAAACCAGUUAGUCUACGGUAGUUUGUUACGGCAGCCCAAAUGGACUAAGGCAGUAAGUAAGAGAGACACUACAGGAAGAACUUUAAAUCAAUUUGAACUGAUUUUUAAAAAACACCUGCAAAUUUUAAUACUUCAUUAUCAGUAACAAGCAUCAGUAACAAUUCAUUUUCAAGUAAAACAUCACAAAG
rnacentral:lncRNA from 10 species